rnacentral:rRNA from 1 species
UACAGAGGGUGCGAGCGUUAAUCGGAAUUACUGGGCGUAAAGCGUGCGUAGACGGUUAUCUAAGUCGGAUGUGAAAGCCCCGGGCUCAACCUGGGAAUUGCAUUCGAGACUGAAUAGCUAGGGUGCGGUAGAGGGAAGCGGAAUUUCCGGUGUAGCGGUGAAAUGCGUAGAUAUCGGAAGGAACAUCAGUGGCGAAGGCGGCUCACUGGACCGGCAUUGACGCUGAGGUGCGAAAGCGUGGGGAGCAAACAGG